rnacentral:rRNA from 1 species
GAUGAACGCUGGCGGCGUGCCUAAUACAUGCAAGUCGAGCGAACAGACGAGGAGCUUGCUCCUCUGAUGUUAGCGGCGGACGGGUGAGUAACACGUGGAUAACCUACCUAUAAGACUGGGAUAACUUCGGGAAACCGGAGCUAAUACCGGAUAAUAUAUUGAACCGCAUGGUUCAAUAGUGAAAGACGGUUUUGCUGUCACUUAUAGAUGGAUCCGCGCCGCAUUAGCUAGUUGGUAAGGUAACGGCUUGCCAAGGCAACGAUGCGUAGCCGACCUGAGAGGGUGAUCGGCCACACUGGAACUGAGACACGGUCCAGACUCCUACGGGAGGCAGCAGUAGGGAAUCUUCCGCAAUGGGCGAAAGCCUGACGGAGCAACGCCGCGUGAGUGAUGAAGGUCUUCGGAUCGUAAAACUCUGUUAUUAGGGAAGAACAAAUGUGUAAGUAACUAUGCACGUCUUGACGGUACCUAAUCAGAAAGCCACGGCUAACUACGUG